CUGAAGGGACGCAAUGGUAUAAGGUCUCGCAAAAGGUAAGGUAAUUUUAUUUUUAGUGAGAGGCUUCAAGGGAGGAACUUCGGCUGGAACAGUGGGCACGGCAGUGACCUCUUCAACAGGAGGGGGAGGGGGAGGGGGAGGAGGAGGUGGUGGGGGAGGGGGAGGGGGAGGAGGAGGCAUUAGAUAGACAUCGAGUGUGCUCAUAUCUACUUCAUGAUGAUCCUUCUUUGGAAUGGCGCUCAUUCUUGGCAUGUUUUUCUCUCUCUCUACAUUAUCUUUUGGAACCUUCUGAACCUCUGUUUGAGUCUCCUGCUUCAUCCUUACA
rnacentral:lncRNA from 1 species